rnacentral:tRNA from 1 species
AUUUAAAUAGCUUAAAAAGAGUAUUAUAUUGAAGAUAUAAGGGUAAAAAUAAUUUUUUUAAAUA